rnacentral:rRNA from 1 species
CUACGGGGUGCUCCAGUGGGGAAUAUUGCACAAUGGAGGAAACUCUGAUGCAGCAACGCCGCGUGGAGGAUGACACUUUUCGGAGCGUAAACUCCUUUUAUAUAGGAAGAUGAUGACGGUACUAUAUGAAUAAGCGCCGGCUAACUCCGUGCCAGCAGCCGCGGUAAUACGGAGGGCGCAAGCGUUACUCGGAAUCACUGGGCGUAAAGAGCGUGUAGGCGGAUUAAAAAGUCAGAAGUGAAAUCCUAUAGCUUAACUAUAGAACUGCUUCUGAAACUCUUAAUCUAGAAUAUGGGAGAGGUAGAUGGAAUUUCUGGUGUAGGGGUAAAAUCCGUAGAGAUCAGAAGGAAUACCGAUUGCGAAGGCGAUCUACUAGAACAUUAUUGACGCUGAGACGCGAAAGCGUGGGGAGCAAACAGGAUUAGAUACCCUCGUAGUC